GGCCCGUAGCUUGAGGGUAGGGCUCCCGUCUAACUAACGGGUAGAUCCGGGGUCGAAUCCCGAUAGGGUCA